rnacentral:rRNA from 1 species
CCUACGGGAGGCAGCAGUGAGGAAUAUUGGUCAAUGGACGAGAGCCUGAACCAGCCAAGUCGCGUGAAGGAUGACUGCCCUAUGGGUUGUAAACUUCUUUUAUAUGGGAAUAAAAUGUUCCACGUGUGGGGUUUUGUAUGUACCUUAUGAAUAAGGAUCGGCUAACUCCGUGCCAGCAGCCGCGGUAAUACGGAGGAUCCGAGCGUUAUCCGGAUUUAUUGGGUUUAAAGGGUGCGUAGGUGGAUUGUUAAGUCAGGGGUGAAAGUUUGGGGCUCAACCGUAGAAUUGCAGUUGAAACUGGGAGUCUGGAGUACAGUAGAGGUGGGCGGAAUGCGUGGUGUAGCGGUGAAAUGCUUAGAUAUCACGAAGAACUCCGAUUGCGAAGGCAGUUCACUGGACUGCAACUGACACUGAGGCACGAAAGUGUGGGUAUCAAACAGGAUUAGAUACCCGGGUAGUC